rnacentral:rRNA from 1 species
UACGGAGGGAGCUAGCGUUGUUCGGAAUUACUGGGCGUAAAGCGCACGUAGGCGGCUUUGUAAGUUAGAGGUGAAAGCCCGGGGCUCAACCCCGGAAUAGCCUUUGAGACUGGAUUGCUUGAAUCCAGGAGAGGUGAGUGGAAUUCCGAGUGUAGAGGUGAAAUUCGUAGAUAUUCGGAAGAACACCAGUGGCGAAGGCGGCUGACUGGGCAUGUAUUGACGCUGAGGUGCGAAAGCGUGGGGAGCAAACAGG